rnacentral:misc_RNA from 1 species
GUAUAGAUUUUACAUUCACAAACAUUCUGUUAACAUACAUUGGGGUGCGUGAAGAAGCAACAUAGACCAUGGAAGAGAUAUCCAGGGUCUACAAAAGGUGCACAGGUGGAGAUAUAAAGAUGACAAGGUGUGCACAUGCUCCCUAGAGAACCAGCAACAACCCAUCAGGUUUAUUUCAAUAAUGAUCCUUCCGCAGGUUCACCUACGGAAA